UACGUAGGGGGCAAGCGUUUGUCCGGAAUUUAUUGGGCGUAAAGAGCGUGUAGGCGGCCCGGUAAGUCCGCUGUAAAAGUCAAAGGCUCAACCUUUGAAUGUCAGUGGAUACUGCCGGGCUAGAGUCCGGAAGAGGCGAGUGGAACUCCUGGUGUAGCGGUGAAAUGCGCAGAUAUCAGGAAGAACACCCGUGGCGAAGGCGGCUCUCUGGGACGGUACUGACGCUGAGACGCGAAAAGCUGGGGAGCGAACAGG
rnacentral:rRNA from 1 species